rnacentral:tRNA from 1 species
AAAAAGGUCAGCUAAGUUUAAGCUAAUGGGCUCAUACCCCGUAAAUAGGACUACAUCCUUCUUUUUA